UACAGGUUUGGUCCCAGCCUUUCUAUUAGUUGUUAGUAAAACUACACAUGCAAGUAUCCGCAUCCCGGUGAAAAUGCCCUCUAAAUCAUUUAAUGAUAAAAAGGAGCAGGUAUCAAGCGCACUAAUAAGUAGCUCAUAACGCCUUGCUUAGCCACACCCCCACGGGAAACAGCAGUGAUAAAAAUUAAGCAAUGAACGAAAGUUCGACUAAGUUAUACUUUUAAGGGUUGGUAAAUUUCGUGCCAGCCACCGCGGUCAUACGAUUAACCCUAAUUAAUAGACAUACGGCGUAAAGCGUGUUUAAGAUCACCUAAAAAUAAAGUCAAGCUCUAGCUAAACUGUAAAAAGUCUUAGCUACCGUAAGACCUACCACGAAAGUGACUUUAAAUAAUCUGAAUACACGACAGCUAAGACCCAAACUGGGAUUAGAUACCCCACUAUGCUUAGCCUUAAACCUAAAAAGUUAUUAUAACAAAACUUCUCGCCAGAGUACUACUAGCCAAAGCUUAAAACUCAAAGGACUUGGCGGUGCUUCAUAUCCAUCUAGAGGAGCCUGUUCUGUAAUCGAUAAACCCCGAUAAACCUCACCAACCCUUGCCAACUCAGCCUAUAUACCGCCAUCUUCAGCAAACCCUGAAAAGGAGAUAUAGUAAGCUCAACUAUUUUGCAUAAAAACGUUAGGUCAAGGUGUAGCUUAUGGGUUGGAAAGAAAUGGGCUACAUUUCCUAAGUAUAGGAUAUAAUAUCUACGAAAGUUCUUGUGAAAUCAAGAACUAAAGGUGGAUUUAGCAGUAAAUUAAGAAUAGAGUGCUUAAUUGAAUAAGGCCAUGAAGCACGCACACACCGCCCGUCACCCUCCUCAAAUACCAAGGAUAGACCCUAAACAUAUAACCUAAAUAUCCUAAAUACUAGAGGAGAUAAGUCGUAACAAGGUAAGCGUACUGGAAAGUGCGCUUGGACAAUU
rnacentral:ncRNA from 1 species